AUCUAGCUGAAUCGUCUCAAAUAGGAUGAAACGCGCGUCCUAUAU
rnacentral:hammerhead_ribozyme from 1 species